AGUUUGAUCCUGGCUCAGAACGACGCUGGCGGCAGGCCUCAAACAUGCAAGUCUAGGGGGUGUAGCAAUACAUCACCGGCGGACGGGUGCGUAACGCGUGGGAAUAUACCUAUCGAUUCGGAACAACUGAGGGAAACUUCAGCUAAUACCGAAUACGUCCUAACGGAGAAAGAUUUAUCGUCGAUAGAUUAGCCCGCGUUCGAUUAGCUAGUUGGUGGGGUAACGGCCCACCAAGGCGACGAUCGAUAGCUGUUCUGAGAGGAAGAUCAGCCACACUGGGACUGAGACACGGCCCAGACUCCUACGGGAGGCAGCAGUUGGGAAUCUUGGACAAUGGGGGAAACCCUGAUCCAGCCAUGCCGCGUGAGUGAUGAAGGCCUUCGGGUUGUAAAACUCUUUCGCGCACGACGAUAAUGACGGUAGUGCGAGAAGAAGCUCCGGCUAACUUCGUG
rnacentral:rRNA from 1 species